CGCGGGGCCGCGGGGACCGGGGCCGGCUCUCCCGGCGGCGGCGUCGGGGGCGGGACGGGGAGGGGAUGCGGAAGGUUCUGCAGCUGCGGCGGCGGCAGGCGCGGCCGUUCGGUGGAGCCGCCGGCUCGGCUCUGAUGGAGGCGGCGCCGAAUUCGGCUGCGCGUGAGAGCCGCGCCGCGGAAGGGGGGGCCGGAGAAGCGAGGGGGCGGGAGGGAGGAGCGGCGCGGCGGGGGUGACGGGGCGCGGGCGCGGGGUGGGCUGGGGGCGCGGAUCAGUGGGACGGAGUUCGGGGUUCGGCUCCGAGCGGGCGGGCUGGAAGUGGGGGAUCCCUCAGCCGCCUCCACGGGCCGGCCCCGCGCUCACGUCGGUUCCGGGGCGGAUGACCCCUCUCCAAACGGCGCAGCGCUGCGGCUCUCGUGAGCUGGGAAGUAGGGGGCAGGGGAGAGGCCGCGGGUCCAGAAACCGUUACUGGAUGGGCCGGUGGGAUGUGGCGCGGGCCGGGUGGGGCGCGACAGUCUGAGCCGAGACCCGCGUGGGCUUAAGGGUGCGCGAGGCGGGUGCCCUGGGCGCGCCCGAACUGGCUGAGCAGUGGAGCGGGAAAGGGCGCGGGACCCGGGACUGUAACCGCCACUUCCAGGCCCUCGCUCCCCGCGCUUGGAGCCCUCAAGGGCACUCUCAGGGAUCCUCGAGAGCCUUAAAACAGAAGUCUCUGGAACCUGUGUCCUCUCCCUGUCUGUCCCGCCCUCGAAUCCCUGUGUCCUCCUCACCCGCUCCCUCCUGCAGUGAGCAUCCCGGGUUGUUGGUAAAGAUCUUGGUGCCUGGGAGGUCGGAGCUUCGUCUCCUGAAAUGGUUUAUACUAGUGAACCCUGGCGCCACGUUCUGUGGCUUAUAAUCACUUUCGUCGUUGCCGCAUGAGGAAGCAAAUGACACCGCCCCUUACCCUGGAAAAGUGGCUGCAGCCUUCCCCGGAUCUUAGUUUUACUCACCCCGAAGUCAAUUUCUCGGUAACUCCACCCUGCUUACUCUUUUUCAUCUCACCUUACUGCUCGACAUUAUAUAUGGAUAUAUUGUGUGUAUUUUGCUCACCUAAUGGUGUUAAUUAGUCAUUUGUUGCCCUGUGUAAGUGAGGUCGAUGUCUUGGAUCACCUUGAUUUCAUGUUCACCAAAGACAUGUCAGAAAUUCCAGCAUUUGUCAAUUCUACCCUUAAGUUUGGUACCAUUUUUCUGCCAAUCUUUCUAGCUUUGCCUCCUGAUUCUCUCAUUGUUUUUGGUAACUGCUGGUUCUUCCACUCAUAUGGGCUUCCAAAUCUAAGUCAGCCGGCCAGUCCUCUCUCCUUCCUUAUUGGGUGCCUUGGUCCUCACCAACUUAUAUUAACCUGGCUUUUCUCUGAGAACCUAGUAUCUUCUCUGAAAGCUCACUAAUACCUAAAUUCUAGAUACAAAUACCAUUCAAUACUCGCUAAGUCCUACCAAAAAUACUUAUUUCAACCUCCCACAAAAUGUUUUAAGACCUUCACAACAAUAAAAUAGUAUAUUAAGAGCAUGUUUGAUUUGUAGAGGAUCAUAUUGCAUUUUUUUAAAGUAAUGACCAAGCAUUGUUUUCUUCCCUUAGUCGUCUCUGCCUUGAACCUUGGAAACAAGUGCUUUCAACAUAAGCGAUGUGAAGGCAUUAAAACAUGUUGAAUGGCUGUGUGCACAGGAUAUCCUACACCUGCCUGACAUCUGGAAUGCAGGUGAAGCAACCUGACCUGAUGGAGCCACCCACACUUUAGAAGAAUCUCAAAUACAGCCAACCCUGAUCUUCCUCAGCUGAAAAUCAUCCAUCUACCAAACUCACAAAUUAAACAUAACGUAAAUAUUAUUACGUUAUGCCUUGUGUUGUGGUGUUAGGCAUGCACAGAUCUGGGUUUAUCCCCUUGUGCUAGACAGUAAGUCACUUGGUUUGAGUCUGUCUGUUUCAGUGACCCUUUUCUCUAAAGCAUUUAGUUAACAUGAUGGCUGACAUCAGCGAGAACUCAGUAAAUGUGGAUUAAAUGAGAAAAUUCAAAAGAAUGAUUACUUACCUUUUUAAAGUUAUCAAUGAAUUCUAUACAAAUAACAACUUAAAGGUCACUAUGUUUCCAGGAAGUUUGGGUGGAGAGCAGAGGAUUGGUUUUCUAGACAGAGAACUUGUUAGACUGAAACAAAUCUUUCUGUGGAAAGUGUUGGGUUGCUGGCCUGAAUCCUGGCUGCUAUAGGGUCCCUGCCUCUUUCUUGGGCCCCUGACCUUAGAAGAAUCUUCCUUCAGAUAAGAAGAGGAGGCAGCUCCAAGUUUACGGCAAACCACCAGCCUCACACACCACUCCCAACCCACCCUUUUUCCAGACUUUAAAACAUCCCAGAAAAGGAUCAUGGUUGCUCCAGCCUGGACCAUGAGCUGCUGAGCAGUCGCUGAAAAUCCCUUCAACAAAAUGACAUAGCUGAUGUGAGUAAAUAGUAAUUCCUUGAAGGAAGAGAAAUUCUAUUUCCAGGGGAAUGACUGCUUGACAGAUAAAAAGAGACACAAGUAUCCCCACAUCUUGGAAUUUGACCUCUAGCCGCCACAAUUGACUAUAUUUGUCAUCACCUUCUUCUUGUCCAGCUGAACUCCUAAACCUGCCACCCCACCCCUAGCUAAGCUAAUAACAUGAAACUGUGCCCCAAAAGAUAGUGAAUAUUUACUGAAAUGCAAAACCAAGAGUUAUAAACUAUAGCCACAGACAAGACUUCUUAAAUGCAGGAAGUUUUGAAUAAGUGGGCACAAGUUAAUACAAUCAAAGAAAAACAAUAUUUGAUAUUUUGGACAUGAGCCCAAUGUGCUGGCGUAUAUGUGUGUGUGAGUGGGCAGGUGGAUGGGGGAAAUCUCACUAAUGAUGGGUGUCAUCAGGAAAGAAAAUCCAAAAACAAAACUACCAUUCAUUUGUACAAUUAACAAUUAGAAAGUGACAAAUGUUUAAUAAUACACUUGGAGUGAUACAUGGUUGUACCUGACCUCAGAAAACUCAUGGCACAACUAAGAAGACAGAGACAUAGACAUAAACAUGUCACAUAGCUUGAGUUCUAGUUGGAGGAUUAAAAGUAUUAUACAAGUACAGAGAUCUAAGAGUUCUGCAGAAGAAAGAUGAUGUUUUAUAAGAAAGUUCCUCGGAGUGGGUCAUUUGAGCUGGGAUUUGAAGGCUAAAUAGGAGUAUGUCAGGUGUGCUUCAUAUCAGCAACUAACAAAAUCAAAGAGACAGAGAAACUGCUGUAGUUGUUAAAGUGACCCCAUCUCUACAAAAACUACAAAAGUUAUCCACGGGUGGUGACACACCCCUGUGGUCCCAGCUACUUAGGGGUGCUGAGGUGGGAGGAUGACUUGAGCCCAGGAGGUUGAGUGUUCAGUGAGCUGUGAUUGUACCACUGCACUCCAGCCUGAGUGACAGAGUGAGACCCUGUGUCAAAGAAAAAAAAAAAAAAAGAAGUGACAGAAAAGUAUAAGUGAUAAGUAGGACAAACCUACCACAUAUUGAAAUAAUAGAAGACAAGCACCUUUUGCUGGAAAAGCAUCACUGCGGGAAGAAUUCCUUCCAUAUAAUUACCAAGAAGUCACUAUUCCAUCAAAUGCAACCGAGAGCCACCGAAGUACCAAGAAAUAAGCAAAUCGGCCUCUAAAAGACCACCACAGCCCACCCCACACAAUCACAUAAAAAUCCAGUUACUAAUGCUUCCACUUUCCUCUCCAGUGAGACUGCUAGAUAUGCUUAUAUCUGACUUUAAAUAUAAUCCUAAUAAAUAUGCUCACCUGAUCUUCCUGUCCACAGCAAAUGGCAAAUAACAAAUCUGGAAAUGUAAGCAGAGUAGCAGCAUUAUGAAAUAACAGCUAAUAUUCCUGCCCUGACCCCAAAGAAAGCAGAACCAAUAGUUUUAAACCUCAGCAGGAAGCAUUCAUUUAAGAAGAAACAGCUCUAUACACAGCUGAGUAGCCACUGGAGGUGUUAUUUUGCUUUGUAUCCUGAUAUUCAUCAAGCAUGUGAGUCUCCAAGAAAAGUUUAGACCUUGUUGAUUAAACAGUAAAGGAUGAUGAGAGGCUUAUUCAGAAGAUUCCCUUUCAGUAUGGUUAAUUGCAGAUUUUUACCAUGUAAAAUAACCAGAUUAAAAAGUCUUCUCAUACCAUACUCCCCUCCUUCCACCUCCAAGCUUUGGUGGGUGCACCUGUUAGGCCUUGCAGUGCCCCUGUGAGCAUGCACCCUCACCACCCUCCUCCAGCUGACCGUAAGUCACUUGAGGGCAAGUCAUUUAUAUUCAUGUAACAUUUAUAGUUUGUCCCCAGUGCUUAGUUCAAAUGCCUUGGCACAUAAUGGGUAUUCAAAAAGGGUUUAUAUAAUGGACAAAGGAAAAUGAAGUGAUUGUAACACUUUUAAAGAAGAUUUAUAUUAAAAAUGAAUGAGCUUCCCACUACACGAACACUUCUUUUGCACUCACCAAUGAAAACUAAAAUUGAUUGAUCAUUUACUAGGUCAGGCACUGUUCCAAGCGUUUCACACAUGUGAAUUUAAUCCUCACCACAGUGCUGUGAAGCAGGCACUAUUAUGUUCCCUAUACCAAGGAGGACAGUGAGGCCCAGACAAUGUGCUGUGCCCAGGCAGGCAGCCGGUAAAUGACAGAGGCUGCCUGCACACUCUGGCAGGCUGGCUCCCAAGCCCAUGCCCUAUCCACUCUGUCAUAUACCUCCAGUGUUAUAUUAUUCAUAGAAGACCAAAAAAAGAAACCUAUGCGACUCACUGCUGCUAAAAGGGGUUGAGAACGUCAGUGUAGCUUCCCCGGUUUACAAAAAAAUCUUAGUGGUUGCACAACGUUGUGAAUGUAUGUAAUGCCACUAAGUUGUACACUUAAAAUAGUUACAAUGGUCAUUUUCAUGUUAUGUAUAUUUUACCACAAUAAAACAUUUCUUUUUAAA
rnacentral:lncRNA from 1 species